rnacentral:lncRNA from 1 species
AAAUUUGCCAGAGACAAAUGUCCCAUGUGUGUCAAACAUAGAGCCAUCACCCCUCCUCUGACAGUAUGCAUAAUAUUAUGAACAAUCCAAAGGACUAUUCAUGGUGAUUUGUCUGUUUUAUUUAUUACAAAAGAAACUAAGCUUUAUUGCCACAUUACAUAACUAUAUAUUCCUCAUUCUUUUGGUUUGAUGACAAGCCCCACAUAACUAUAUAUUCCUCAUUCUUUUGGUUUGAUUGCAAUGCCUUUGAUGACAAGCCCCUGCUUCCACAUACCACCAUCAUAUUCAAACAAAGAUAUCUCCAUCUCACCACCAUCUUUCUCACAUGCUACAAACUCACCAACCGGAACCUCUAUCCACCUUCCCCUUAACAUCUCCAUUAAAUUCACCUUGUGUUGCUGCUUCUUUCCUCCUGGAAGAACAAGUCUAACAUUUAUCGGAAGUUCCCAACCCUGAGCCGGAUCUUUCAACAUUACAUAAAAUGAAACUUGAUAUAAAAUUCCUGGUGAAAGCUUUCUAGUGUCAAAUUUUCCAUGCACUUCUAGCCAACAAACUCUCUUCAGUUCAGCUACCUCACUCAUCCCGUCGCUACAAAACAUAUCUUACAUUAAUCACGACUAAAAACUAUGUAACGUAAUAUGAAAUCACUCAUAUGUAUGUGUACCUUGCAUCUUUUUGCUGUAUCCAUUUCCAGUAAAUUGGAUUCUCUGCCCAAGUGAUUGAUAGUGCUCUUGCAUACAACAUAA